UACGGUCAAGCUACGAAGGGCGCACGGUGGAUGCCUAGGCGAUCAGAGGCGAAGAAGGACGUGGACAGCUGCGAUAAGCUCCGGGGAACCGCUAACAGGUUUUGAUCCGGAGA
rnacentral:rRNA from 1 species